rnacentral:rRNA from 1 species
AUUGAACGCUGGCGGCAUGCCUAACACAUGCAAGUCGAGCGAGCGGCGGACGGGUGAGUAAUGUUAUGGGACUGCUCGAUAGAGGGGGGUAACUACCGGUAACAGUAGCUAAUACUGCCUACUAUUGGAUAACCCAUAUGGGAUUAGUUAGUAGGUGGGGUAAUGGCUCACCUAGGCGACGAUCCCUAGCUGGUCUGAGAGGAUGAUCAGCCACACGGGGACUGAGACACGGCCCAGACUCCUACGGAGGCAGCAGUGGGGAAUAUUGCACAAUGGGCGCAAGCCUGAUGCAGCCAUGCCGCGUGUAUGAAGAAGGCCCUAGGGUUGUAAAGUACUUUCAGUCGGGAGGCGUUACCGAAAGAAGAAGCACCGGCUAACUCCGUGCCAGCCGCCGCGGUAAUAC